GACGAACGCUGGCGGCGUGCUUAACACAUGCAAGUCGAACGGCAAGGCCCUGCUUUUGUGGGGUGCUCGAGUGGCGAACGGGUGAGUAACACGUGAGUAACCUGCCCUUGACUUUGGGAUAACUUCAGGAAACUGGGGCUAAUACCGGAUAGGAGCUCCUGCUGCAUGGUGGGGGUUGGAAAGUUUCGGCGGUUGGGGAUGGACUCGCGGCUUAUCAGCUUGUUGGUGGGGUAGUGGCUUACCAAGGCUUUGACGGGUAGCCGGCCUGAGAGGGUGACCGGCCACAUUGGGACUGAGAGACGGCCCAGACUCCUACGGGAGGCAGCAGUGGGGAAUAUUGCACAAUGGGCGGAAGCCUGAGGCAGCAACGCCGCGUGCGGGAUGACGGCCUUCGGGUUGUAAACCGCUUUCGCCUGUGACGAAGCGUGAGUGACGGUAAUGGGUAAAGAAGCACCGGCUAACUACGUG
rnacentral:rRNA from 1 species